AGUUUUAUAGUUUAAUCAAAACAUUAAUUUUGUAAAUUAAAAUUAAAUUACAACAUUUUAAAACUA
rnacentral:tRNA from 1 species